UCAGGUUGUAGUAUAAGUCAUGUAUGGUUAGAUUCCUGUAGAACCAGGCUUCUGCAGUAACAUUCCUGCUCGCAUCCACAUCCGGCAGCUGCCACACUCGAAGCGUUCAUCGUAACUUGCAAUGAUAAUAUAAGUAUAUUCCACAUUUCGUUUAAAUGAAAGUUAUGGGGUUAUUUAUUGAUAUAAAAUGUGUUUUAGUUGAUCUUACAGGUAACAACAGCAAAGAUUUAAAGCGAAGAAGGUUUAUUAGUUGUACACCGAUCUAAAUUUUACGCAUUUUGAUCCUUUAUUUAUAUACUUACAGGUUAUCAGCAAACACAAACAGUUUCUUCGUAAAAGUUUUCUACAGUUCUGAAUUUUAUUUUAACAUGCACAAAAGCGACGCGGCUAUUUUUGAAUAAAAAGUAAACAAAAGAGUUUCGUUUUAAUUUAAUUUUGACAGCGGGUGUGGUGAUGACUCGAGCAGGUUGGAACAGAAUAUUCUUUGGAUGGGAUUCACUGCGAUCCGUGACGUCACUGAGCGCCGGUUCAUUUAAAGCUUCUUCUCUGAGUUCUGCUUAUACCAACAAGCAGAGUUUAAGCAGAGAAGAAGCUGUGGCGGUUUCCAUACAAUCUCUCUCUGAGAUUGUUGAGAGGGUAUACAUCGACCGAAAUUAUUCCAUUGCCAUCUACCUCAAAUGGUGAAAACAAUGUAUAUAGUAGCAGUACUGGUGAUGGUUUCAACUUGCCUAACAUCUAUCCAACUAACAACGAUUUACUUGAAGGUGACGGUGAGUUAGAUAGUACUAACCCUUUUCCAGCUAUAUUUUCAGAUUCAGAUAGUGAUCACGGGGAUACCGAUCGCGGCAGUGAUGAUGAAGAUA